GACGAACGCUGGCGGCGUGCCUAAUACAUGCAAGUAGAACGCUGAAGAGAGGAGCUUGCUCUUCUUGGAUGAGUUGCGAACGGGUGAGUAACGCGUAGGUAACCUGCCUUGUAGCGGGGGAUAACUAUUGGAAACGAUAGCUAAUACCGCAUAACAAUGGAUGACACAUGUCAUUCAUUUGAAAGGGGCAAUUGCUCCACUACAAGAUGGACCUGCGUUGUAUUAGCUAGUAGGUGAGGUAAUGGCUCACCUAGGCGACGAUACAUAGCCGACCUGAGAGGGUGAUCGGCCACACUGGGACUGAGACACGGCCCAGACUCCUACGGGAGGCAGCAGUAGGGAAUCUUCGGCAAUGGGGGCAACCCUGACCGAGCAACGCCGCGUGAGUGAAGAAGGUUUUCGGAUCGUAAAGCUCUGUUGUAAGUCAAGAACGGGUGUGAGAGUGGAAAGUUCACACUGUGACGGUAGCUUACCAGAAAGGGACGGCUAACUACGUG
rnacentral:rRNA from 1 species